AACGAACGCUGGCGGCAUGCCUAACACAUGCAAGUCGAACGAGAUCUUCGGGUCUAGUGGCGCACGGGUGCGUAACGCGUGGGAAUCUGCCCUUUGGUUCGGAAUAACAGUUGGAAACGACUGCUAAUACCGGAUGAUGACGAAAGUCCAAAGAUUUAUCGCCAGAGGAUGAGCCCGCGUAGGAUUAGCUAGUUGGUGUGGUAAAGGCGCACCAAGGCGACGAUCCUUAGCUGGUCUGAGAGGAUGAUCAGCCACACUGGGACUGAGACACGGCCCAGACUCCUACGGGAGGCAGCAGUGGGGAAUAUUGGACAAUGGGCGAAAGCUUGAUCUAGCAAUGCCGCGUGAGUGAUGAAGGCCUUAGGGUUGUAAAGCUCUUUUACCCGGGAUGAUAAUGACAGUACCGGGAGAAUAAGCUCCGGCUAACUCCGUGCCAGCAGCCGCAGUAACAC
rnacentral:rRNA from 1 species